UGGGGAAUUUUGGACAAUGGGGGCAACCCUGAUCCAGCAAUGCCGCGUGUGUGAAGAAGGCCUUCGGGUUGUAAAGCACUUUUGUCCGGAAAGAAUUCCCUUGCCCUAAUACGGCGGGGGGAUGACGGUACCGGAAGAAUAAGCACCGGCUAACUACGUGCCAGCAGCCGCGGUAAUACGUAGGGUGCGAGCGUUAAUCGGAAUUACUGGGCGUAAAGCGUGCGCAGGCGGUUUUGUAAGACAGGCGUGAAAUCCCCGAGCUCAACUUGGGAAUGGCGCUUGUGACUGCAAGGCUAGAGUAUGUCAGAGGGGGGUAGAAUUCCACGUGUAGCAGUGAAAUGCGUAGAGAUGUGGAGGAAUACCGAUGGCGAAGGCAGCCCCCUGGGACGUCACUGACGCUCAUGCACGAAAGCGUGGGGAGCAAACAGGAUUAGAUACCCUGGUAGUCCACGCCCUAAACGAUGUCAACUAGUUGUUGGGGAUUCAUUUCUUCAGUAACGUAGCUAACGCGUGAAGUUGACCGCCUGGGGAGUACGGUCGCAAGAUUAA
rnacentral:rRNA from 1 species